AGGAACUUAGGAUCAAUAUAAACCAGAAGCCUUCAAAGCCUCUAAAAAGAGUAGAAUCUCUUAGCUCCU
rnacentral:tRNA from 1 species